AGGGGUUGUCCGACACUUCGGUGGGGGGAGUGUUACACGGAGGGGGAGCCAAGUCAGGGCAAGCAUUGUUGCAGAAUAUUUCAGCUGAAUGAUCACACAAACUGUGGACGACCACAACGGCAAAGACAUCCAGUGAGCCCACAUCAGGCAGCUUCUCAGCCCCCUUCCCCUUCUCACUCCCCCUCCACUUCCCAGUCCCCCUCCCCUUCUCACUCCCCCUCCACUUCCCAAUCCCCCUCAGCUUCCCAGUCCCCCUCAGCUUCCCAGGCCCCCUCAGCUUCCCAGGCCCCCUCAGCUUCCCAGGCCCACUCCCCUUUCCACUCCCCUUCUCAGCCCACCUCUCCUUC